AUGCUGCGGAUGUCCCUCAAAGAAGCCCCUCCUCGACCAAAGCCCCAGCCCGCCCUCGAGACGCCUUUUUCCCGCCUAUGGCGUGGCUUCCCGAGGCCUAGUUCAAGUGGCAGAAGGGCUGCCAUUGGCGAGGGCCGCGAAGGAGGAGGCCCCAGUGGAGGCCGCAAGAAGGAGGAAGGCCCCGCGUGUGAAGGGAAGUGGAGCAUUCUCCAACCCACUCCCGGCCGGGGCCUGGCAAGGCUCCUGAUUGCAAGACUCUGGAAGUCAACGCAAGUACCGACAAAAGAACAGUGGUUGGAAAAAGUGAUGGAAAUCAAGAAUAUGGACCAACUAUCCUUCUGGAUUAAAAGAAGUAAUGGCAUUCCAUUAAAGGCUACUGACUGGUCUAAUUUUGAGGACUACUUAAGGAAAAAACUACAAAAGAAUUAAGGACUGAACUAACGGACUUAAGAGAACAAAAUCGGAAGUCAAACCAUCACCUCCCCAAUCCCCCUGCCCUAAUCCCCACCCCACCUUCUAUGUUCCACAGUCCCCUUUUUUUUUCCCCCAUCUCACCAUACUCAUAACCAGGUACCUGCCACCACCCUAACCCUAUCCCUAUCCCUACAGCUAAUACUUGCUCGCCUGUGUACCACUUGUUGAGGAAAAUCACAAUAAAAAUUACUUUUCAAAAAAAAAAAAUCUAUGUUUCUUCCAAAUAGUUAUAAAAUCAUAAAUUGCCAAAUCAUCUGUGCCACUGAUUUUCCAAAUGACCUAUGGCAGAGCUUGGUCAUAGCUAUCCACACCCAAAUAAAUCAUAUAUUUGAUUCCUAUGAUGGGUUAGAUCAUCAUCAUCAUAUUUAGUUGUAUUCUACCACGGUAAAUCUGUGUCCAAAACAGCUUACAACAUCAAAAAGGUUACAUAAGCCUCCCAAAUUCCCCUCCCUCUAAAUAAUAACUACAGUCCAUGACUUAACAUCAUAUAAAUAAGUUGAAUACCUCACCGUCAUAAAAUACACAUCAUCAUUAACCAGUUUCCUUAAUAAUCCACAGUGAGACUUGGUAAGAGCCAACAAUGGUACAAAUUUUAAAAAAAACUAUCCAGUUCUACCCAGCUGUAAAAUCUUAAGAAGACCUCACAGUCUCCAGAUGUCUUCAGCCAUUGCCACCACGGCCAUCAAUCACCCUUGUGGGUGAAUCAGGGCUUCAUCCUCCUAGGAUGAAGCCAGACAGGAACAGGUG
rnacentral:lncRNA from 11 species